GGGUUGUGAGGUUAAGCGACUAAGCGUACACGGUGGAUGCCCUGGCAGUCAGAGGCGAUGAAGGACGUGCUAAUCUGCGAUAAGCGUCGGUAAGGUGAUAUGAACCGUUAUAACCGGCGAUUUCCGAAUGGGGAAACCCAGUGUGUUUCGACACACUAUCAUUAACUGAAUCCAUAGGUUAAUGAGGCGAACCGGGGGAACUGAAACAUCUAAGUACCCCGAGGAAAAGAAAUCAACCGAGAUUCCCCCAGUAGCGGCGAGCGAACGGGGAGCAGCCCAGAGCCUGAAUCAGUGUGUGUGUUAGUGGAAGCGUCUGGAAAGGCGCGCGAUACAGGGUGACAGCCCCGUACACAAAAAUGCACAUACUGUGAGCUCGAUGAGUAGGGCGGGACACGUGGUAUCCUGUCUGAAUAUGGGGGGACCAUCCUCCAAGGCUAAAUACUCCUGACUGACCGAUAGUGAACCAGUACCGUGAGGGAAAGGCGAAAAGAACCCCGGCGAGGGGAGUGAAAAAGAACCUGAAACCGUGUACGUACAAGCAGUGGGAGCCUCUUUAUGGGGUGACUGCGUACCUUUUGUAUAAUGGGUCAGCGACUUAUAUUCUGUAGCAAGGUUAACCGAAUAGGGGAGCCGAAGGGAAACCGAGUCUUAACUGGGCGUUAAGUUGCAGGGUAUAGACCCGAAACCCGGUGAUCUAGCCAUGGGCAGGUUGAAGGUUGGGUAACACUAACUGGAGGACCGAACCGACUAAUGUUGAAAAAUUAGCGGAUGACUUGUGGCUGGGGGUGAAAGGCCAAUCAAACCGGGAGAUAGCUGGUUCUCCCCGAAAGCUAUUUAGGUAGCGCCUCGUGAAUUCAUCUCCGGGGGUAGAGCACUGUUUCGGCAAGGGGGUCAUCCCGACUUACCAACCCGAUGCAAACUGCGAAUACCGGAGAAUGUUAUCACGGGAGACACACGGCGGGUGCUAACGUCCGUCGUGAAGAGGGAAACAACCCAGACCGCCAGCUAAGGUCCCAAAGUCAUGGUUAAGUGGGAAACGAUGUGGGAAGGCCCAGACAGCCAGGAUGUUGGCUUAGAAGCAGCCAUCAUUUAAAGAAAGCGUAAUAGCUCACUGGUCGAGUCGGCCUGCGCGGAAGAUGUAACGGGGCUAAACCAUGCACCGAAGCUGCGGCAGCGACACUAUGUGUUGUUGGGUAGGGGAGCGUUCUGUAAGCCUGUGAAGGUGUACUGUGAGGUAUGCUGGAGGUAUCAGAAGUGCGAAUGCUGACAUAAGUAACGAUAAAGCGGGUGAAAAGCCCGCUCGCCGGAAGACCAAGGGUUCCUGUCCAACGUUAAUCGGGGCAGGGUGAGUCGACCCCUAAGGCGAGGCCGAAAGGCGUAGUCGAUGGGAAACAGGUUAAUAUUCCUGUACUUGGUGUUACUGCGAAGGGGGGACGGAGAAGGCUAUGUUGGCCGGGCGACGGUUGUCCCGGUUUAAGCGUGUAGGCUGGUUUUCCAGGCAAAUCCGGAAAAUCAAGGCUGAGGCGUGAUGACGAGGCACUACGGUGCUGAAGCAACAAAUGCCCUGCUUCCAGGAAAAGCCUCUAAGCAUCAGGUAACAUCAAAUCGUACCCCAAACCGACACAGGUGGUCAGGUAGAGAAUACCAAGGCGCUUGAGAGAACUCGGGUGAAGGAACUAGGCAAAAUGGUGCCGUAACUUCGGGAGAAGGCACGCUGAUAUGUAGGUGAAGCGACUUGCUCGUGGAGCUGAAAUCAGUCGAAGAUACCAGCUGGCUGCAACUGUUUAUUAAAAACACAGCACUGUGCAAACACGAAAGUGGACGUAUACGGUGUGACGCCUGCCCGGUGCCGGAAGGUUAAUUGAUGGGGUCAGCGCAAGCGAAGCUCUUGAUCGAAGCCCCGGUAAACGGCGGCCGUAACUAUAACGGUCCUAAGGUAGCGAAAUUCCUUGUCGGGUAAGUUCCGACCUGCACGAAUGGCGUAAUGAUGGCCAGGCUGUCUCCACCCGAGACUCAGUGAAAUUGAACUCGCUGUGAAGAUGCAGUGUACCCGCGGCAAGACGGAAAGACCCCGUGAACCUUUACUAUAGCUUGACACUGAACAUUGAGCCUUGAUGUGUAGGAUAGGUGGGAGGCUUUGAAGUGUGGACGCCAGUCUGCAUGGAGCCGACCUUGAAAUACCACCCUUUAAUGUUUGAUGUUCUAACGUUGACCCGUAAUCCGGGUUGCGGACAGUGUCUGGUGGGUAGUUUGACUGGGGCGGUCUCCUCCUAAAGAGUAACGGAGGAGCACGAAGGUUGGCUAAUCCUGGUCGGACAUCAGGAGGUUAGUGCAAUGGCAUAAGCCAGCUUGACUGCGAGCGUGACGGCGCGAGCAGGUGCGAAAGCAGGUCAUAGUGAUCCGGUGGUUCUGAAUGGAAGGGCCAUCGCUCAACGGAUAAAAGGUACUCCGGGGAUAACAGGCUGAUACCGCCCAAGAGUUCAUAUCGACGGCGGUGUUUGGCACCUCGAUGUCGGCUCAUCACAUCCUGGGGCUGAAGUAGGUCCCAAGGGUAUGGCUGUUCGCCAUUUAAAGUGGUACGCGAGCUGGGUUUAGAACGUCGUGAGACAGUUCGGUCCCUAUCUGCCGUGGGCGCUGGAGAACUGAGGGGGGCUGCUCCUAGUACGAGAGGACCGGAGUGGACGCAUCACUGGUGUUCGGGUUGUCAUGCCAAUGGCACUGCCCGGUAGCUAAAUGCGGAAGAGAUAAGUGCUGAAAGCAUCUAAGCACGAAACUUGCCCCGAGAUGAGUUCUCCCUGACCCUUUAAGGGUCCUGAAGGAACGUUGAAGACGACGACGUUGAUAGGCCGGGUGUGUAAGCGCAGCGAUGCGUUGAGCUAACCGGUACUAAUGAACCGUGAGGCUUAACCUUACAACGCCGAAGCUGUU
rnacentral:rRNA from 1 species